AAUAAGCAUAUCAAUAAGCGGAGGAAAAGAAACCAACAGGGAUUCCCUUAGUAACGGCGAGCGAAAAGGGAUGAGCCCAGCAUGUAAAUCUCCGGUUUCCGGCGAAUUGUAGUCUGGAGUAGCAACUCCUGGUGCCGUGCCGGCCCAAGCAUCUUGGAAUAGAUCGCCUCAGAGGGUGAGAGCCCCGUAGGUCGGUACGAGCUCCUACACGGAGUGCUCACGCAGAGUCGGGUUGUUUGGGAAUGCAGCCCCAAUUGGGUGGUAAACCCCAUCUAAGGCUAAAUACCUGUGGGAGACCGAUAGCAAAAAAGUACCUCGAGGGAACGAUGAAAAGACCGCUGGCAAGCGAGUGAAAGAGUGCAUGAAAUUGUAUAGUGGGAAGGGAUGGCCUGGCGUAUUGCCCGCGGGUAUACACUGCUCCUUGAGCUCUUGAAUACACCGUGGGCUGGCUGGUGCCGACACCUGCGCUUGCAAAUCCCCAAACUAAGGUGUUUGGCUCUUCAAGCGCGGGUGUUGAGGUUGAUCGUCGCUUUGUUUUAAACUGCGUCGACAAAGCACCAGCUGAAGCCUGUCCAUCUACCCGCG
rnacentral:rRNA from 1 species